rnacentral:lncRNA from 1 species
AGUCGACAUCUUUUCCUGGUGCCUGAGGACCAGCAUAGCUGCUGUAAAGGCAAUGAGCUAUGAGUUAUGAGGUGUGAUAACUUUUGACAAGCCCCUAAGCAAGGAAGCUAACCCCCAAACUACAGACUGAAUCCCAAAAAACCGCAAGUCAAAAUAAACCUUCUGUUUUUCAAAAUGGGUUCAUUUUAGAUAUUUGUUAUACUAAGAAAAAGCAAGCAGAUUAUUUAGAAACUAUCAAUAAAAUGGAGGGUAACUCUCCCUCUUGAUAGAAAGGGUGAAGGUCAGAACUGAAAUUAACCUGUUGAACUCCCAAGCCUGGACUGCUACUCACUACAAUAAAAUGUUAUAGUUUGUGUUUUACUAAAGCCUUUCUCGUUUCCUAGUUUAGUGUGUCAUCUUUUAUUUUGUCAUCAAAACUUUGAAAGUAGAGCACCAUGUCCCCCGAUCCUGCUAGCUUCUUCUGCUCACCGUCCUUGGGGACCCAGAGGUCCUGUUAACACCUCAUAAUAAAUUCCCCACCCCAGCACCAGCCAGAGCUUUUGGCUUCCACGGUUAGCUUGUGUGGCAGUCAACAAUCCCACACUUAAAGUCACCGGCUGACCGAGCAGCAAAGUUGAGGGCCAGCUUUGUGCUCCAGAGGGCGAUAAAUCCAGCCCCACAUGAGCUACAGAGAAGUGCAGAAACCAUUGUGUUAUCUUAUCACCUGGGCCAUUCAGGUCUUGCAUGAAGAAAUCCCUGGAUCAGAGUCAAAAUCGACUCCAGCCAACAUGUCUUCUAAAUAACCAUUGUUUAUUCAGAGUUUGAUAAUUAAUCAACUCCGCAAACAUUUAUUUAGCGCUUACAGUAUUCCAGGCGUUGCGCUAGUCACAAUGGGGGAACGUAAGUGAACAAGAGUCCCUGUUGUCAGGAUGCCCAGCUAACCAGAUAAUUAAUUAUUUGACAAUGUAUUGAAUAUGCUGGUGGAGACAUGCCCACAGAGUACACAGCAAGGGCAACGAGGCUGGGUGUGGUGACACACACCUGUAAUCCUAGCACAUAGGAUGUAGGAGGUGAAGACAGGAGGACUAAGAAGCCAAGGUCAUCCUCAGCUACACAACAAGUUCAAGGCUAGUGUGGGAUACGUGACACCCUGCCUCAGUCUCUCUCUGUCCCUUGCCAAAAGUGCAAUGACCUCAGCUUGCUUGAGGAUCCGAGAGGGGACAAGAAGUCUCUUGAUGCAACUUUUGGAGUCCAGUUCUGAC